rfam:Pteropus alecto contig39331, whole genome shotgun sequence.
GUCUACGGCCAUACCACCCUGAACAAGCCCGAUGUCUGAUCUCGGAAGCUAAGCAGGGUCAGACCUGGUUAAUACUUGGAUGGGAGACCACCUAGGAAGACCAGGUCCUGUAGGUG